rnacentral:lncRNA from 1 species
CCAAUUGUUUUGAUCUCUUCCUGAGGGAAAAAUAUAAUAUGUAAUCCCUGUUAGGUUGGAUCUCUCUUCUGUAUUUACUUUGGUUUUCAUUUCUUUAUCAUUUUUCUCUGUGUUUUGAGACUAAAUCUCAAACUUGUCCUUUCCCUCAUGGUCUCAAGUUUUUGUAAUGUUAAUUCUGAUCUUUUAUUCUCCCAAUGUGAAUAAUAGGUGUUAUUGAAUAUUUGAUUUCUCUGCAGUCCUCUUACCUGGCUUCUUUCCUGUCUAGCCGUUUUAUUUCAGGAUGUUAUUUCUUUAUGCCAACUGCACCUUUUUCAUGGAGGUCAUGAAGGCUAACCUGUUACAGAGGAUGCCAAAAAGGCAGAAUGCAGGAACAGCCCCCGCUGAACGGGGCGUACCCGCCGGCACCUCUGACACUCAGCAGCCCCCUCAGUUCAUGGAGGGUUCCGAGCCUCACCUGCGUCCCUUAGGUGCUGGCAGCUUCUCCUGGGUUUUAUGUAACCCCCUCGGCCAUUCCAGAAGAAAGCAGCCCUUUGGAUGCCCCCUUUGACCUGUGAACUUCAGGGGUUUUUAAAGGUAAAGUUAACCAUGUCUGGUAAAUGUAAUAUUUUCUGAAUGAAUGGAUGAAAAUGAAUAUUUCAUCAUCUCUUUGAUUUACUAUAAAUGCUUUCACAAAAAAUCCUUAUGUUUUUGAACUAUAAAGUCAUGUCAGAAAAAAAUGUUUCAUGUACUGAAAAGCUUUCUCCAAAGGGAACUGUAGCAUUUUACUAGAGUGAAUGAACACUGGAAAAAAGGAGAUACCCAGACUUUUGAAGGAUUACUACACAUUGGUUCUGAAUUGAUGCUAAAUCCAGGGGAAGGAAAAUGCUGCUGUGGUCCAUUAGUCAAAGUAGGGUGUAUGGGUGGUUUUGGCCUAAAUUUAAAUCACUGUGGGCUCAGUAGACCUGCAGACUCCUGUUGUUAUCUCCUAAGUUGCUGACUGCUUAAUUUGAAUAGAUAUACUUGUCAAUUGGAAGCAUCAUCACAUAGCUUCUCUGACUUACAAAGUAAAGACAUUAGGAAGGCCCCUAGGACUUCCCCUUCUUGCUAGGAUGGUAAACUCAGUACUGUGUCUCUGGAGAAAUUGCAGGGAUUGUUGCCACUAUCAAGGACUUGGGAAAUGCCGCUGUAUUGAUGUUUGUUGCAUCUCUAUUUCAUUUGCUUGUUUGGACUCUGUAGAAGUGGGAUGGAGCUUGGAGAAUGACCAUGGAAUAGCAUACAUUUAAUCAUUUAAAUGUAUUUAAUCAUUUGAUACUGACUGUACUUGCAGCUUCUACUCAAGAUGUGGCAUAUAUACUGAAGCAAAUCAGUAAAGCAAGUCACAGCCUGGCAUGUGGUGUGCAGCUAAUGACCUGGAAAAUGCUCCCCUCCCUCCAUGCUAAUCUGUAAGAACCACAGCAAUAGUUUGUUUUUGCAUGGUAGGACUUACUCUUUGUGGUCCUGCUGCUACUGCUAAGUCGCUUCAGUCGUGUCCGACUCUGUGCAACCCCAUAGAUGGCAGCCCACCAGGCUCCCCCGCCCCUGGGAUACCCCAGGCAAGAACACUGGAGUGGGUUGCCAUUUCCUUCUCCAAUGCAUGAAAGUGAAGUCGCUCAGUUAUGUCCAACUCUUCACGACCCCAUGGACUGCAGCCUACCAGGCUCCUCCAUCCAUGGGAUUUUCCAGGCAAGAGUACUGGAGUAGGGUGCCAUUGCCUUCUCCGUGGUCCUACCUUAGGGCAAAUGAAAGCUGCUUCUUUACUGAGGUUCUAUGAUCUGAUGGUUCUUGAAAAGCCUAUGUCGUCUAGGUAUGCACUGUGAAGACUUUGGCAAGCUCAAAUAGGAGAAUUAUCAGGCAGAUAAUAUAGCAAACCCAUGCUUUCUUUUACAGAUAGCUAUCCUUUUGGGAAAUAACUGCAGGUUUGCUGCGUGGCCCCAGUAGAGACUGAAUGUUUGAUCACUGGACAUCACGUGACUAGGUGACCCAUCAUAACCAGGCAUUCUCUGAGCCAGUGAGCCAUCCACUUAGAUAUGGGCAGUAGCAACCAAUUAAAUGGUAAAUAAGAAACUGAGCUGAGCUGAGCUUAGAAGACACAGCAAGGCAGCUGCAGGAACAGGUGCCUCAGACUCCUUCAGCAGUACCUGCUGCUGUAUUGUCUUCUGCUUCCAUGCCUGUGGCUUCAUGGAGAAUGCCUUAGGAACUUAGGACUCAGUCUGGUUUAUAGAUGGUUUGGUGGUCUUGGUUCCCAAGGGGGACAUCACAAUGGUUCUGUUUUCUAAAUGUAUUUUAAUACAUUUAUUUGCUUUCUUUAACUUAAAAAUAAAUUAUUUGACUAUGUGGUCCCUAAAUUAUUU